rnacentral:rRNA from 1 species
CCUACGGGAGGCAGCAGUGGGGAAUAUUGCACAAUGGGGGAAACCCUGAUGCAGCGACGCCGCGUGAGUGAAGAAGUAUUUCGGUAUGUAAAGCUCUAUCAGCAGGGAAGAAAAUGACGGUACCUGAUUAAGAAGCCCCGGCUAACUACGUGCCAGCAGCCGCGGUAAUACGUAGGGGGCAAGCGUUAUCCGGAUUUACUGGGUGUAAGGGGAGCGUAGACGGCAGUACAAGUCUGGAGUGAAAUGCCGGGGCUUAACCCCGGAACUGCUUUGGAAACUGUGCAGCUAGAGUGCAGGAGAGGUAAGUGGAAUUCCUAGUGUAGCGGUGAAAUGCGUAGAUAUUAGGAGGAACACCAGUGGCGAAGGCGGCUUACUGGACUGUAACUGACGUUGAGGCUCGAAAGCGUGGGGAGCAAACAGGAUUAGAUACCCGUGUAGUC